rnacentral:rRNA from 1 species
AGGACGAACGCUGGCGGCGUGCUUAACACAUGCAAGUCGAACGGAAAGGCCCUUCGGGGUACUCGAGUGGCGAACGGGUGAGUAACACGUGGGUGAUCUGCCCUGCACUUCGGGAUAAGCCUGGGAAACUGGGUCUAAUACCGGAUAUGACUACGAAUCGCAUGGUUUGUGGUGGAAAGCUUUUGCGGUGUGGGAUGGGCCCGCGGCCUAUCAGCUUGUUGGUGGGGUUAAGGCCUACCAAGGCGACGACGGGUAGCCGGCCUGAGAGGGUGUCCGGCCACACUGGGACUGAGAUACGGCCCAGACUCCUACGGGAGGCAGCAGUGGGAAUAUUGCACAAUGGGCGCAAGCCUGAUGCAGCGACGCCGCGUGAGGGAUGAAGGCCUUCGGGUUGUAAACCUCUUUCAAGCAGGGACGAUAGUGACGGUACCUGCAGAAGAAGCUCCGGCCAACUACGUGCCAGCAGCCGC